AGUGAACGCUGGCGGCAGGCCUAACACAUGCAAGUCGAACGGCAGCACAGGAGAGCUUGCUCUCUGGGUGGCGAGUGGCGGACGGGUGAGGAAUAUAUCGGAAUCUACCCUUUCGUGGGGGAUAACGUAGGGAAACUUACGCUAAUACCGCAUACGAACUGAGGUUGAAAGCGGCGGACCGCAUGGCGUCGCGCGGAGGGAUGAGCCUAUAUCCGAUUAGCUAGUUGGCGGGGUAAAGGCCCACCAAGGCGACGAUCGGUAGCUGGUCUGAGAGGAUGAUCAGCCACACUGGAACUGAGACACGGUCCAGACUCCUACGGGAGGCAGCAGUGGGGAAUAUUGGACAAUGGGCGCAAGCCUGAUCCAGCCAUGCCGCGUGUGUGAAGAAGGCCUUCGGGUUGUAAAGCACUUUUGUUGGGAAAGAAAAGCGGUCGGUUAAUACCCGGUCGUUCUGACGGUACCCAAAGAAUAAGCACCGGCUAACUUCGUGCCAGCAGCCGCCGUAA
rnacentral:rRNA from 1 species